rnacentral:rRNA from 1 species
GAGCACGUAGGUGGGUUUGUAAGUCAGAUGUGAAAGCCUUCUGCUCAACGGAAGAAUUGCAUCUGAAACUGCGAGUCUUGAGUGUAGGAGGGGAGAAUGGAACUUCUGGUGGAGCGGUGAAAUGCGUAGAUAUCAGAAGGAACGCCGGCGGCGAAGCGAUUCUCUGGCCUAUUACUGACACUCAGUGUGCGAAAGCUAGGGGAGCAAACGGGAUUAGAUACCCCGGUAGUCCUAGCCGUAAACGAUGGGCACUAAGUAGAGGGGUUUU